rnacentral:rRNA from 2 species
UGGGGAAUAUUGGGCAAUGGGCGAAAGCCUGACCCAGCGACGCCGCGUGAGGGAAGACGGUCUUCGGAUUGUAAACCUCUUUUAUAAGGGACGAAGAAAUGACGGUACCUUAUGAAUAAGCCACGGCUAACUACGUGCCAGCAGCCGCGGUAAUACGUAGGUGGCAAGCGUUAUCCGGAUUUACUGGGUGUAAAGGGUGUGUAGGCGGGAUGGUAAGUCAGAUGUGAAAAUUAUGGGCUCAACUCAUAACCUGCAUUUGAAACUGCUGUUCUUGAGGUUCGGAGAGGUAGACGGAAUUCCUGGUGUAGCGGUGAAAUGCGUAGAUAUCAGGAGGAACACCGGUGGCGAAGGCGGUCUACUGGACGAAUACUGACGCUGAGACACGAAAGCGUGGGGAGCAAACAGG